UACGUAGGCGGUUAGAUAAGUCAGAUGUAAAAGCGUGGGGCUCAACCCCAUAAAGCAUUUGAAACUGUGUAACUUGAGUAGUGGAGAGGAAAGUGGAAUUCCUAGUGUAGCGGUGAAAUGCGUAGAUAUUAGGAGGAAUACCAGUGGCGAAGGCGACUUUCUGGACACAAACUGACGCUGAGGAGCGAAAGCGUGGGGAGCGAACA
rnacentral:rRNA from 1 species